CCCUUAGAUGUUCUGGGCCGCACGCGCGCUACACUGAUGCAUUCAAAGAGCCUAUCCUUGACCGACAGGUCCGGGUAAUCUUUGAAUCUGCAUCGUGACGGGGAUAGAUUAUUGCAAUUAUUAAUCUUCAACGAGGAAUGCCUAGUAGGCGCAAGUCAUCAGCUUGCGUCGAUUACGUCCCUGCCCUUUGUACACACCGCCCGUCGCUCCUACCGAUUGGGUGUGCUGGUGAAAUGUUCGGAUCGGCCGUUUGUCGCGGUUUCCGCGGCUCGUGGCUGAGAAGUUCAUUAAACCCUCCCACCUAGAGGAAGGAGAAGUCGUAACA
rnacentral:rRNA from 1 species